rnacentral:lncRNA from 1 species
AGGGUGGUGGCCGGGGUGAAAACCUCGUCUGGCUCGGAGCCAGACCGAUGGCGGCGGCGUCCAUGCGUCGUUCCCUUCUUGAAGGCUCCAUCGCGGUAACCCUGCAUCCUUCGUGUUACUCCGGGUGAAAACCUAGAUUCCCUGGAUCGGGCGGUGGUGGCUCGUCGGUGCCGUUUCUUUCUUGGAAGCACCGCUUUGGAGUCCCUGGUUCGUCUGAGUUACGGUUUCGAUCGUCUCCUCGCGGUGACUCGUUCACGGUGAAGAGCUCUUUAGACCCUUAGCUAUGCUCUUCUGCCUAUUUGUCGUUUGCUUUGGGGUGUUUAGAGUAGCUUUGCUGUUCGUCAGCUCCCUUGUAUCUGCCUUGGGUGUGUGUGUGGUGUCGAGUGGUUUGCAUCAUGUAUGUUGAUCGUUGCUUUAUUUAUAAAGCGGGGCGAAAGCCUUUUUCGGUAUACAGACGCACGCGCCCGACUCGCAGGAACUAGAUUGGCCAGAGGCUUUCUCGUAAUUUUCUGGUGCUACAACAACUCAAUGACCUGCUGGUGGUUAGGUUACAUACACGCACGAGUCGGCCUAUAGUAACCUAUCGAGGCUGACUCCAACAAGAACCGCUAGCUAGUCCUGAAGUCUAAUGACAAGUGGAGGAUGCGCAUGGACUUUACUGAUAUCAAUAGAACAUGUCUCGGAGAUCCGGUAUACAGAAGUGAGUAUGAAACCGAAGAUGAAGGAAAAACAUCGUUCAGUAUACCCCUCCCAGGUGUUGUGUCAUGUCAAGAAGUCGUUCAGAAUCAAUAAUGCAAGUGAAACCUAUCAGUGUGCUAUGAAGCACACUUUCGAUGACCCGAUCAGGUGAAGCAUGGAGGUGUAACAUCGAUGACCUAGGGUUGAAGACUAGGAAGAAGCGUGACAUGUUGCUUGACUUGUACAAGGCCUUUGAGAACCUGAGAAAGACACAUUAACAUCAUCCACAAGGAGUGUGUCUUCGUGGCCGGGGCUAGGAAAUUCCAUGGUUUUAUGGUCUCACAUCGUAAUAUCAAGAUGAACCCAACAAAGAUUAAGGCCGUCGAAGGAAUGGAACCCCCAAGAACGUCUAAUUAUCCACCUACUUUUAGGUAAUCCACGGUUUCACACAAGAACAAAACAUAUUAGGGUGAACUAACAUUUUGUACGAGAAUGAGUCACACAAAAAGCAUUGAACAUUUGAUUUGUGCCUUCGAAAGAUCAAGUUGUAGAUGGGUUUACUAAACCUCUCUCAAAUCGAUGGUGUUUUAAGGGCAAUCUCGAUUGUUAUGAUUCGGCUCGGCGAGGCACGCCGUGAUUUUCCACGAAUAUGCUAUUAGUACUUAUAAUAUGCACUGUAGCAUAUCCGAAAAAAAGAGGGUAGAUUAGAAUCUUUUUUAUUUUCUGAUUGGGGAUGUUAGAUUAUGAAACUACCGGUUAUGUAGAGACCCUAUCAAACUCUAAUUGAUUGUUUAUAAUGAUUGUUACCAAUUCGUGAGUUAUCCCUAGCUAGUACGAAAGCAGCCGCACCCUGAUUGGAAGGAGCACGUCAAACACAUCGUCGAGUGCUAGCCCUCAAGAUCGGAAGAAGCAUGUCCUUCGCCGGCGUUUCGCCAUCGUCCAUGGCGCCGGCCAUGAUCUACUCUGGCAAGGACAGCAGCGGCAGCUGGUGGUAUCACCUGCUCGUGGUGGAAGGUUUCUCCCGCGUCAAAGAUACGCCCACGGGAAAGCACAUCAUGGAUCGUUCCUUCAGUGCUGGAGGCUAUCGAUGGGCUCUGAAGUUGUGUCCCAAUGGUGAUCGCAUGGAGACUGCUGGUUUUAUCUCUGUUUUUCUUGUCCUUCAGGAGGAUGUUGCGCUGCCCCUAAAUGUGCAUUGGCAGUUUAGCUUCGUCGAUCAGGUUGACCAGCAAGAGCCUGCACACAUCCGUGCAGCCUACACAGGUGAUUUCUCUAAAAGUGGUCAUGGCUGGGGUUGCCGUCGUUUCAUCAUACGAGAGGACCUCGAAAAGUCAGAGCAUCUCAAGAAUGACUGUUUCACCAUCCGGUGCGACUUUAUCAUCGUCUCCGAAGCUGCUGAUACUUUCAUUGAGGUGCCGUCAUCCAAUAUAUGCGACCAUAGGAGCCAUCUUUUGGUGACGAAGCUCGGUGCCAAUGUGAAGUUCGAGGUUGGCAGCGAGAUGUUCGACGCGCACCGGUGCGUGCUCGCGGCCCGUUCUGCCGUCUUCAGGGCUGAACUCUUUGGGCCCAUGAAGGAGGGGACUAUGGCCGGUCCCAUACAGAUACAAGACAUGGAACCAGAUGUGUUCAAGGCUUUGUUGGUUUCGUCUACACGGAGUCAAUGCCAAAGAUGGAGGUGGGAGGAAUAGCAGGAGAAGUCGGACCUGAGGUUCCGUGGAUGCAACACUUCCUUGCGGCGGCAGACAGGUAUGAUCUCCAACGGCUCAAGUCAAUGUGUGAAGACAGGCUAUUGAAACACAUAGAUUUGAUCUCGGUGUCGGCCAUCCUUGGUGUAGCUGCGCGACACCAUUGCUACGAACUGGAGGAGGCCUGCCUGGAGAUCCUCAAAUUCCAGUCGGCUGCCGGCUUACGAGAUGUCAUGGCGACCAAUGACUGGCAGCACAUAUCUACGACCGAUCCGUCUGUUAUGUAUGAGCUCAUUACCAAGCUUGCUUCGAAAGCUAAUCCGUAGUAAUGGUAUGCUUACUUAAUUAUUGUUCCACGAAAAGAGAGGUUGUGAUCUCCUUACCGUGUAUGUGUACCUGUGGUAUAGAUUCAGUAAAGUGUAUAUUUUGCUGCUUUCAUGCAUAUAUCCAGGGCAGAGAAAAUGUUGGUUCUUUGUUUUUUGGGAGGUGAAAGAAAUUUCAAAUAAUUGUCUAUCUAGUUCUUCAGUUUUUUCUAUCUAAUUCUUCGCUUUUUUAUAUCGAUAUCUAUAUCUUUCUAUUCAUAUUUUUAGUAUCUUUCAUAUGUAUUUUGUGUUUGGAAUCCUAUGUACUCCCUCUCAUCCAUAUUAAUUGUCACUGGCUGAUCAUAGGAAACAUUCCGUUCAAUGUAGCACUGAGUUUUUGAAUGGAAUGUUUACCUAGUACUCCUACUCUCUUGGGCUAUUUUCUUGGCUGAGGGCUACAGCCCAAGUAGAACCGUCAGAACCCCGUGGGUUCAUUUUUUUUUUCUGUCAAACCAUAUCACUCUUUAUUAUGAUGCUUUUUAACUCUGGACGUGUAGGGCUGGUGUGCAUCUAGUUAUGCCAAGGUCGACUUUGCACUCGGUGUAGUUGCAUUGUCCCGAUGUGACGGUUGAUGCAAUAAUAUUCCUUUUAUCCAAAGAAUUUUUUUUUGUAUAGGUCAUGGCUUUAUGUAUUGGUCAACAAAACUAAUUUAUAAGAGAAAAAAUACAAAUGAAAUGUAUCACUUCUUUUCUCUGUGUGUGUCUCUCUCUCACACAGACAUUAUGGGUCCACGUCCACCCAGGGUGAAGCUAGGAACAUGGUUGUGUGGUUCAAUAGAACAUGGUAGCACUGUUCCUCGUCUGCGGCCACCACCGGCGACCUCCCCCACAUCAGUCGCCGCCACCAGCGCCCUUCCACUUCUCUCCUCCCAUCACCUUCCCCCCUCCAUUGGAAACCUCCUCCCUUUCCCCUCUCCCCAAAUCGAGCAGCAGGUCCUCAUCCACGGCCAUGACGACGCGAGCGCCAUGGUGCAAGCCGAGGGCGUGUGACAAGGGAGCUCGGACCCUGGUGCCGAUGCCAUGGACAAAUUUGCAUGUGCCAUACUCUAAACCUUCAAAUAAUAAUCUGUUUCGUAUGCCCGAAUCGCUCAUGUAGCGACCCUGGUGCCGAUGCCAUGGACAAGGUGCCCUCUCCAUCUCUCCUUUCUCUUUGUGUGUGUGUGUGUGUGUGUGUGUGUGUGUGUGUGUGUGUGUGUGUGUGUGUGUGUUCGAUUUGGAGUUGGUGCUCUGUUCGUGAAGCUCCGUCUCUUCUCUACCGUAGGAGAACAUCUAUGUUCAUGAAGCAGCCCCAAUCGUAGCCUUUCCUUGGCCAUGGCGACCGAGUAGGCAGGAGGUACAAAUCACUUCUCUCCUCCCCUUAUGUGAUGUGUGCCAUGUGCUUGCGUGGAGAGAAGUUGCUCCGUUCCCGUCUGCUCAAGGAGGAUGUGCACCAUCCUCAUCAAGCCAUGGCGAGUUUUAGCUACUGUCACGCCACAUCUGUUAGUGCUUGGAGAGUUGUAGGGUUUAUCUACUGUGAUGCCACAUCUGUUACUGUUGUGAAUACAAGUUCCAAUGGAUGGAUAUUACAAUCUUGUAAGGGGAAAGGAGCUCCAUAAUUUAUUUCUUCUGAAGCCUAAAGAAGUGGGUUCUGUGUUAUGCUAAUUAACAAUCGUUCCUUCUGGUUUGUCGGCUUGCUGAUUCAGCGUUGUGGUACAAGCAUUGUUUUCCUUGUGUAUUAACCAUGCGAGUACAAUGUUGAGCUAAUCUCAUAUAUGCCGUGUCCUCUGUUGUGCUGUGCAGUUAGUUUCAUUUGAUGAUAUUUCAUUGAUUUCUUCAUAUGAGAAGGUGGAUCUACCGAACUGAGCUAUAGCCUUUAUCAGAGAUAUCUUAAUUCAUCUACGCUGUUAAGAAAAUGUUGUAGAUGGGGUUUUCUGAGGUGGCAAGUCCUACAAAUAAUUCUUCGAGGUGGAAAUUGACACAUGAUGAGGUAUUGUCAAAUGCCAUUGCCCUUUGAUAGUCAUUUACUACUGCAAAGUUCAUUUAUAUGACUGAUUAUUAAGUGCCAAUCAUAGUUUCUGUGCAGCCUUUCAUCAGUUGCCUUUGGUAAUAGUGUUUCCCUCUUACUAUGGUCUAUGGUGGAGUUCAAUGCAUCGGUAUAAAUACUUUCGUUUCUCUGCAGCCUUUCCUCAAACAAUUGUCAUUAUUAGUACUAAAUAGUUGUAUGCAUCAGCGUGUACUAUACCAAAAAAGGCUUUUGCCCCGCUUUAUAUGUAAAGCAAAGAUCAUCAACAACCCGGUAAACCGCACGCCACCACAAGACACGCACACACACCCAAGGCCGGAUACAUAGGCGCUGAGCGCAGCAACACUACUCCUAGCACUACCACCGCAAAGAGAUGAAGCCGCAUACGACGAACCGUGGGCUCCAAGGCGGCGCCUUCAGGAAGGAUACGACAACAGAGCGCCACCACCGCCCGAUCCGAGGAUCAGAGUUUUCCCUGGAGCCGCACGACGGGCAAUGAGAGCCGUGACGACGCCUUCAAGAAGGGAACGAGCACGCCGCCGCCGGUCCGUCUAAAGAUGGAACGGGUUUUCACCCCGGCCAACACUCACCGUCACCGAACGCCACACCCCGGCUACCACGCUGUCCAUACGGCCAUGGCCACCGGGCAGCACCAAGCCACGGGCUUUGCCCAAGAGCACCACGCUACCACCACCAGGGCCGCCGCACCGACAUCCAAGACCUCGACACCGCCUCGCCCAAGACCCGCCGCUACCCCAACCAAAGAGACGAGCGAAAAGGUCCCACCCUACGCACCCCUGGGCGACCCCCAACGCCAAGACCCAAUAGGCCAGCCACCACUGGCUUCCAUCGACUCGUCCUACAGCGUGUACUAGAUGAAUGAUUAACCAUCUCUUCGUCUUGAUGUUGUUAUGUUGUAAAUUGCAAGCAAAGUCAUUAUUUUCUUCUACCCAAUAUAAGCCAGUGUUUGGUACUAAGGCGUAUAGGACCAAGGAGACGAGCAACGAGCUAGGAGGUCUGACCCUCCCCUAUGCCCCAGUGGCCAUGGUUUGUACUUUUCUCAAGUCAGUUUUUUUAGAGCUCCCUUUUAUUCUUGCCGAACUGCACAUAAAUUUAUUUAUUUGAAUAUGCUCAGUGGUCGUUUUGACAAGCAGAAAUCUUGAGGUUGCGACAGAAUAUGUUUUGAAAAAUUCAUCAGGCGGAGCCCUCAAAGAUAAGGACAAUAAUGCUCAAAGAUUUGUUGUGAGUUCUGCAGCCUAUUUAUUUUCUGCUUUUCAAUUAUGUUUUCUGCCAUUUACUUUGAGACUCAUUCUCAUUCUCUGUCUAAAUAUGUAGUGGCAAUGAAAUCAGAUUUGUUCUCUGGGGUAAUUGUGCGGAUCAAUUUGAUGUCGAGAGUGUCUGUUCUGUUGGCGAAAAGGCCCCAGUUAUUGGGAUAUUUAUGAGCUCAUAGCCAAAAAACUUUCAAGGUCCUUAUUUUAACCAUGAUUUAUGUCAUCUCAAAAUGCAGGUGUGUACGGGCCAUUCUACUUUGUUAUUCCGCUUUAAUAAGCACAGUAUGGUAGUGAUGGUUAUGGGCCUUUGGAAAUGAGAUUAUCGAACUGUUCUGCCAAUUGAUUGUUACACGGCUUUCCAUCAUUGCCAAGCAGAAGUAUGCAUCUUGCAACAUUUCCUUGCUUUUAGAAUUCUUUGUACUGAAAAGCAGGACCUAACUGGUGCUAUUGGCCUACCUUUUCUACAGGCAACGCCCAACGGACCUGAAAGAUGGUAUCCGCAGUUUGAUAAUUGCAUCCCCAAUGGUGCUCUGAACUCUCGGAACUCGGUUAAAUGUGGGACCCUUUUGACAAGAAGUAUGGGGAAGAUUUCGUUGCUGCUGCAGUUGACCUAUGCCCAAAUGCUCGUGUUAAUAAUCAUGUAAGUGUGUGUAUUUCAUUUCUUUUUUCUGCAAAGUCAUUUGUUGUCACUACUGCAUGUAUUUUAUGCUCACUAUUGAAAUCAAUGAUGUCCUUCUGAAGCUAAUUCAGAAGUUGUCAGUCAAUAUGUCCUCUGGGAAAUUUAAGUUGGAAGUUCUUAAGGAUAUAGCAAAGGAGCAUCAGAUAGAUUGGGAUACGAGCGAGGCUGAGCAGGAGCUUCUUAAACCUGCCGAAGAGCUGAUUUAAGCUAAAACUGCAAUGCACAUACUUUUAUUUUACAUGGUGUAUAGUCUUUGAGGUAAUAGGCUUUAACUUCUAAGCAGCAAGUGUUAUAUUUGGCAAGUUAUUGUGUCUGCACAAGGCUUCUACUCGCAAUGGGGUUGUUUGCAGCAUUUUGAUGUCAAGUUUCUAUUUAUAUUACACACAUCAUGCUUGUGAUUGCUAAUUCGGUCAUCCUCAAGACCAAAAGGGCACCAGAAGGGGUGCCUACCUGGCACCUCCCAUGAACAUCUCAAGCAGAGAUUCCCGACAAUCUUUUGUUUGUUUACAUUCUCCAUUUAAUGAUAUAUGCAUGUGUAACUAACCAUUUCUUUUUGUUUAUAAGAAUUUCACAUGAGAUUCCUACACAUAGAUGAAUAUCCUCCUGAUGCUAAUCAAGGAUUCGAUAUUCCAUCAGCUUUGGUUAACUUGCGUGAGUUAAUUGUAAGAAAAGAUAAUCUGCAACAGAUCCAAUGUUUGUCUCACAUAUGCUAGAAAAUUUUCAAGGUAAAUAUAGGAUAUUUACUACCUUGAGAGUUUUAGAUAUUCUUCUUUUAUCUUCUAAUUACAAUAUUAUUAUAUGAUGUAGGAAGAUAAUGUUAUGAAAUCCUACAGAAGUGUUGAUUGUUCCCUUGAUCCUUGACAGCACAUCCUCACCUCACAGGACCAGUGGCUCAAGCUCAUUGUUGUGCUCCUAUACCCUUGAUCCUUGACACAGCAUCCUCACCUCACAGGACUCGUGGCUCAAGCUCAUUGUUGUGCUCCUACAAUUCUUCACUAACAGUAUUUAUGUUUCUUAUUCCUUGCGCCACAAGUAUCUCUUGCAAAGUAUUCUUGUACUCCUGCAAUUUAAAUUUCUGGAUUUAGUGAUGGCACUGUCCAAAAUAGGUAUUAGUUGUCAGUAACAUCCACAGCUUCAUUAUUAAUAGAUUUGGGUUGAUAGCAUGGAAAUUUAACACAUAUGGCAUUAAUGUCCUCUUUUUAUGGAUCCUGCAUUGGUUUGGCUGAAUGAUUUUGAUUUUCCUUUAUGGUAUAUAUACAUCAGUCAGUCUAUUAUUUACCAGUACUAACCUGUAAUUGUCACAGAAACAUGCUUCAUGUAAGGAGGUCUUCCACUCUGAGAUCAUGUUUGAAUCUUUAUUUCCACUUGAGGUCAUCUAUCAGAAGCGAACACGAUGCACCAUCCACACGCUAGGCCAGUGUGGAAAGCGACGCAAUUCUUCAUCGACUUCUCCGGUGCGACACGGCAUCGACCCUUGGUCGCCGCGACAUGCUGCUGCGACGCCAUCGCCGACAUUUCAUCACCAAGUUCUUCAUCAACGUGGUCUUCAUCAACAUCUUCGUCAACACAUCGCCGUCGCCUCGUCCACAAGAUGGACAACUAGCGUCUUCUAACAGACUUUUCUGCAAGACGCGACCUCGACGACGGCAAUGACCGCAUCACGACGACGGCAUCGACUGUGUCAUCAGCGACAACACGACUGCAUCGACACGGCGUCACUACAGUGACGACCCUACACGGCGGCAUUGUUCUGGCAAAACAGAUGUGUGCUCGAUGGGCUUCCUCCGGUCUUGGCAAAACCGGUGGACACAUCGCCGACGGCACCCUCUGACAUCCGCAAGGUGCAUCGUCCUCAUCUACAGCUCCGUCAUAGUGCAUUUUUGGGCAUCCGGAUUUGUGCGGCUUCAUCAACGACGACCACACCAUCGACCACGACAACAUCGACCACGGCUACAUCACCAUGAUCGGCUACCUGGAUAUUAAUGGCUAUGUCUACAACGACUCAUCGGCAACAACUCCAAUCAACAGCGUUCGCCUCAUCACUUGCGUCCACAACACUCCCGUUGUGACUGCGGGAGGGAAUAGAGGAGAAGACAGGAAAGGCAGCAGAAGGGGACGUAGUCACUGCCCUAGGUGCCGACCCAUCAGCCAUUCGAGACGCAGUUGAUGAUGGUGUAGCGGAGAGGAUGGCAGAAGUGCAAGACUUCAAAUUCAGUCGCAAUCGUCUGCUUCACUCCCGCUACGACUGAGGGGGAAUGUUAGAAUAUAAAUAUGUUUAAGAUAGAGAUGAGGAGAUAGAGAGAUAAAAUAGCUUUAACCAUGUAUGACUUGCCAUCUACUCCAAGUCUCUCUCCCUCAUAUUGUACUCUAUAUAUACCCCACACUUAGUCGGAUCAAUACAACAAUAGAAAAAAAAUUAUUUAUCAGUAGUAACCCGUAAUUUUCACAGAAACAUGCUUCAUGUAAGGAGGUCUUCCACUCUGAGAUCAUGUUUGAAUCUUUAUUUCCUCUUGCCUCUCUAUGCUUGUACCAGCCCCGUACUAAUUAGAUCAUGUUUCAAUCUUCAUUUCCUCUUGCCUCUAUAUCCUUGUCCCAGCCCCCAUACUAAUUGUUUUACUUGGCUAGAUGCUCCUAGCUUGACAACACAUAGUGCUGCCUUUAUAGUCUUUACUGUCGAUAUGGCCAAGUUUAUCUUGAACGAAGUAUAGAUGGCACCUCUUGGCAUGUACAUGCUUGGCAGUAUUCUAUCUUACUCCCUCCCUCCGAAAAUACUUGUCAUCAGAAUGGAUAAAAAGAGAUGUAUCUAGAACUAAAAUACCUCUAGAUACAUCUUCUUUUACCGAAAAAGACUUUCGACCCGCUUUGUAUUAUAAAGCCAAUCGCACAGCAAGCAUCCAACAAAGUCCAACACAAAACCACGCACACACACACAUGGAAGUCCACGGGAACAAAUAGUACAUGAAAGGGUCAAUGCCGAGGGCACAGCACAACAAGCCCUAAACCCAAAACACACACGCCACAGAGCCGCCAGGCGGUCUAGUCAGGCUCAGGUGGGGGAGGCUGUAGCGGGGGAGCCAUGUGGAGCGCCAUCGAGCGGAGAUCGGAGAGGAGGGUUGAGGGAGUCCUGGAUUAGGGGGUGUCCGGAUAGCCGGACUACCAUCAUCAGCCGAACUAUCAUCAGCCGGACUAUCAUCAUCGACCGGACCCCAAGACUAUGAAGAUACAAGAUUGAAGACUUCGUCCCGUGUUCGGAUGGGACUUUCCUUGGCGUGGAAGGAAAGCUUGGUGAUACGGAUACGUAGAUCUCCUACCAUUAUAACCGACUCUAUGUAACCCUAGCCCUCUCCGGUGUCUAUAUAAACCGGAUGGCUCUAGUCCGUAGGACAUAACAACAAUAACAACAACAACCAUUACAAUCAUACUAUAGGCUAGCUUCUAGGGUUUAGCCUCCUUGAUCUCGUGGUAGAUCCACUCUUGUAAACAUCCACAAUAUCAAUAUCAAUCAAGCAGGACGUAGGGUUUUACCUCCAUCAAGAGGGCCCGAACCUGGGUAAAACAUCGUGUCCCUUGUCUCCUGUUACCAUCCGCCUAGACGCACAGUUCGGGACCCCCUACCCGAGAUCCGCUGGUUUUGACACCGACAUUGGUGCUUUCAUUGAGAGUUCCUCUGUGUCGUCACCGAUAGGCUUGAUGGCCUCUUCAAUCAACAACGAUGCAGUCCUGGGUGAGACUUUUCUCCCCGGAAAGAUCUUCGUAUUCGGCGGCUUCGCACUGCGGGCCAAUUUACUUGGCCAUCUGGAGCAGAUCGGAAGCUACGCCCCUAGACGUCAGGUCAGGUUUGGAAGCCUAAACUUCACGGCCGAUAUCCGCGGGGACUUAAUCUUCGAUGGAUCUGAGCCACAGCCGAGCGUGCCGCGCUGUCACGAUGGGCAUGACCUAACUCUGCCGCCGGACAGCACCUUGGAGGCCGCACACGAAUCCACUCCGACACAUAGUCCGGAGCCGAUCGCUCAGAUCGAGGACGGAUGGCUGGACACCGCCUCGGGAGCUGCAACUUCUACGGCGAUGGAGCCGAACACUUACCUUGUACCACAUAAAGCUCAUGACUCCGAGGUGUCGGACUCUCUGCCGGACUCCGAACCUCCUGCGCCCCUGCCAGUCGAAUCCGACUGGGCGCCGAUCAUGAAAUUCACCGCUGCGGACAUCUUUCAGCACUCACCCUUCAGCGAUAUCUUAAAUUCGCUGAAGCAUCUCUCGCUAUCCGGAGAGCCCUGGCCGAACUACGGCCAAGAUGGUCGGGACGCGGACGACGAAGAAAUUCAGAGCCCACCCACCACCCACUUCGUAGCCACCGUCGACGAUCUAACCGACGUACUCGACUACGACUCCGAAGACAUCGACGGUAUGGACGACGAUGCCGGAGAAUAUCAAGAACCAGUGCCUACAGGACACUGGAAGACCACCUCGUCAUACGACAUAUAUAUGGUGGACACCCCAAAAGAUGGGGACGGCGAAGAAGCAACGGAGGCCGAUUCCUUAAAGAAACAGCCCAAGCGCCGACAUCAGCGGCGCCACUCUAAAUCCCGCCACAUCAAGAAUAGAGAUUCCGGCAGAGGAGAUAAUAACACCCCAGAAAGUGCCGAAGACAACCCCCUCCAGCACGAUCCAGCGCAGGAGGAGGCAGAAGCAAGCCCUCACGAGAGGGCGGCAGACGAAGAGGUCGAGGAUGAUAAUUACUUACCUCCCUCCGGAGACGAGGCAAGCCUCGACAACGACGAAUUCGUCGUGCCUGAGGAUCCCGUCGCACAAGAGCGUUUCAGACGCAGGCUAAUGGCCACGGCAAAUAGCCUAAAGAAAAAGCAGCAACAGCUUCAAGCUGAUCAAGACCUACUGGCAGACAGAUGGACCGAGGUCCUCGCGGCCGAAGAGUAUGAACUCGAACGCCCCUCCAAAAGUUACCCAAAACGCAUGUUGCUCCCCCGACUAGAGGAGGAAGCGUACAAACCUGCAUCACCAGCGCACAAUACGGCAGACCGACCACCUCGUGGCCGCGACAGAGAGGCGUGCAAGCCCUCCACCAAAAACGUACCCCGGCACCGCUCAAAAAGCAUGAAGCCACGGGGGAACGCGCCGGACUUGCGGGAUAUAUUGGAGGACAAGGCAAGACAAUCCAGAUCCAUCUAUGGAUCACGUGGGCGCCCUAAGACCCACGACGAAUACCGUCGCACCGGAUACAGCUACUCCGGCCGGGCCGAACACAGCAGACAACGCUCUCUCGAGCUACGUCGCGAUAUUGCUCAAUACAGAGGCGCCGCACACCCACUAUGCUUCACUGACAAAGUAAUGGAUCAUCAAAUCCCUGAAGGGUUUAAACCCGUUAAUAUCGAAUCCUACGAUGGCACAACAGACCCCGCGGUUUGGAUUGAGGAUUAUCUCCUCCAUAUGAAUAUGGCCCGCGGCGACGAUCUUCACGCCAUCAAAUAUCUCCCUCUCAAGCUUAAAGGACCAGCUCGGCAUUGGCUUAACAGCCUGCCCGCAGAGUCAAUUGGAUGCUGGCAAGACCUGGAAGCCGCAUUCCUCGACAACUUCCAGGGCACGUAUGUGCGACCACCGGACGCAGAUGACCUAAGCCACAUAAUCCAGCAGCCAGACGAAUCGGCCAGGCAAUUCUGGACACGGUUCUUAACAAAGAAAAAUCAAAUCGUCGACUGUCCGGAUGCAGAGGCCCUCGCGGCCUUCAAACAUAAUAUCCGCGACGAGUGGCUGGCCCGGCACCUAGGACAGGAAAAGCCGAAAUCCAUGGCAGCCCUCACAUCACUCAUGACCCGCUUCUGUGCGGGAGAGGAUAGCUGGCUAGCUCGCAGCAACCACCUCAGCAAAAACGCUGGCAGUUCAGAUACCAAGGACCGCAAUGGCAGGUUGCGUCGAAACAAAAACAAACGCCGCAUUAACGGCGACAGCAAUGAGGAUACGACAAUCAACGCCGGAUUUCGAGGCUCCAGGCCCGGUCAACGGAAGAAUCCAUUCAAAUGAACCACUCCGGGCCCGUCCAAUUUGGACCGAAUACUCGACCGCUCCUGUCAAAUACAUGGAACCCCCGAAAAGCCAGCUAAGCAUACCAACAGAGAUUGUUGGGUAUUCAAGCAGGCAGGCAAAUUAAUCGCCGAAAACAAUGACAAGGGGCUACACAGCGAUGACGAGGAAGAGACCUGGCCGCCGAACAACAGAGGACAAAAGGGAUUCCCCCCCCCCCCAAGUUCGGACGGUAAACAUGAUAUACGCAACACAUAUACCCAAGAGGGAGCGGAAGCGUGCACUAAGGGACGUAUACGCGAUUUGUAAGGAUUUGCCCCAAAAUUUGCCCCAAAUUUGUAAGGAUUUGCAGGCCCCCAUCCAUUCAAAUGAUCACCAAGAUUAGCAACUUUGUCCUUUCAUCUCUCAUUGCUAGAUUAGCUCUUGCAUUGGUUUAUAUAGUGAUUAAUUGUGGGUUUUAGUAAUUUGGGAGGAAUUAUAUGUGGUAGUAUUUGAUUUAUAUGCAAUUUGAGGUCAAAAUAACACUUAGUUUGCAUAUGUAGGUGUGGUUUACUUAGUGCCUUAUAAAUCUCCGUCGUAACCACCGUCGAUCGCCCGCACUGUCCCGUCGCCGGCACCACCUUGUGGUGAGCCUCUUGUUCAUGAAAUUAUAUAUAAAAAAUUGAUGUUUGUGCGAUUUGGAUAUAUAGUUACUCGUAUAAUAAUUAUCUUACCCGUAUGUUGUUUGUUAUACAUAGUGCCAUGGUUUUGAUAUCCGUCCCCGUCGGCCCUUGUCCUUGUUAUGAUUCGUAUGUGGUAUAUUCUUUUUUAAAACUAUUUGUUGCAUUUCGUGUUUAUGACAAAUUAUGCCCAUCAAGUUGACAUAGAUAUUUUUAUCUAGGAGGUAUGUGAACCGGAAAUUCCAACCGACCCUAUUGUCGAGAGGUUAAAUUUAGUUGAAAGAGAAAACGAGUACUUGAAAGAAAAAUUGAAAAGAAUUGAGGGGGAGAAGAUGGAAUUGGAGUUGCAUGUUGCCGGUGUCGUCAAUGAUCACAAGAUCAAGAUGGAGAAAAUGCGCUUGAAGAUUAGAAAGAUUAGAAAAUAUGCCAUCGAUAGUGAGGCUUGGUAUCAUUAUGCUGUUGGAUCAAUUGUUACCUUAGUUGCGAUCUUGAUCGCAUUUGUUGUUGCAUUUAAAUGCUUUAGCUAGAGAGUUAUUUGUUUGUUGCAUUUAAGUGUUGUAUGAACUUUAUGUAUGAACUUGUAUUAAUUUGGUCUAUUCGGUGUUGUGUAAUAAAGAUGAGCCGGCAAUGAAUGUACGAUGACCGAUGCUCUCCCCAGUUUGUUGAGGGCGUGCAUACUUUUCUGCUUGUGGCUGAGGCAAACAAGCGGGCGGAUGGUUUUAUGCCUUAUUCAUGUGCUGGCUGUAAGAAUGGUCGCAAUUACUCUACGUCAAGAACCAUUCACGUCCACCUGUUUGAGUCCGGUUUCAUGCCCCACUAUAAUGUUUGGACCAAGCACGGAGAAAGAGGGGUUAUGAUGGAAGACAAUGAAGAAGAAGAGGACGACGACAGCUAUCCUGGCCAUGGGUUCCCUGAAUACGAUGAUACAACAAUGGGGGAAGAAGCUGAGCUGGUAAUGCGAGAAGAAGCUGAGCCGGCAAUGCGGGAAGAAGCUGAAGAAGAGGCAUCAGAUGAGCCCGUUGAUGAUCUAGGUCGGGCCAUUGCCGAUGCAAAGAGAAACUGCGCAAGUGAUUUGGAGAAGAAGAAGUUGCAGCGCAUGUUAGAGGAUCACAAAAAAUUGUUGUACCCGAAUUGCGUAGGUGACAAGAAAAAGCUGGGCACCACACUGGAAUUGCUGCAAUGGAAGGCAGAGAAUGGUGUAUCUGACAAGGGAUUUGGAAAGUUGCUGGUAAUGAUAAAGGAUAUGCUUCCAAAGGACAACGAAUUGCCCGAGAGUACGUACGAAGCAAAGAAGGUUGUCUGCCCUCUAGGGUUAGAGGUGCAGAAGAUACAUGCAUGCCCUAAUGAUUGCAUCCUCUACCGCGGUGAGUAUGAGGAUUUGAACGCUUGCCCAGUAUGUGGUGCAUUGCGCUAUAAGAUCAGCCGCUAUGACCCUGGUGAUAUCGAGGGCGAGCGCCCUAAGAAGAAGAUUCCUGCCAAGGUGAUGUGGUAUUCUCCUAUAAUACCACGGUUGAAACGUUUGUUCCAAAACAAGGAGCAUGCCAAGGCGAUGCGAUGGCACAGAGAAGACCGUAAGAAAGACGGAAAGUUGAGAGUACCCGCUGACGGGUCGCAGUGGAGAAAAAUCGAAAGAAAGUACGGGAAGGAGUUUGCAGAUGAUGCAAGGAGCGUAUGGAUUAGUCUAAGCGCAGAUGGCAUUAAUCCUUUUGGGGAGCAGAGCAGCAACCAUAGCACCUGGCCUGUGACUCUAUGUUUAUAUAACCUUCCUCCUUGGUUGUGCAUGAAGCGGAAGUUCAUUAUGAUGCCAGUGCUCAUCCAAGGCCCUAAGCAACCCGGCAACGACAUUGAUGUGUACCUAAGGCCAUUAGUUGAAGAACUCUUACAACUGUGGAAUGGAACAAGUGUACGUGCCUGGGAUGAGCACAUGGGGGAAGAAUUUGACCUAAAGGCGUUGCUGUUCGUGACCAUCAAUGAUUGGCCUGCUCUCAGUAACCUUUCAGGACAGACAACCAAGGGAUACCGCAGAUGCACGCACUGUUUGGAUGAUACCGAUAGUAUAUAUUUGAAUAGUUGUAAGAAGAAUGUGUACCUGGGACAUCAUCGAUUUCUUCCGAGCAGGCAUCCCGUAAGAAAGAAAGGCAAGCAUUUCAAAGGUGAGGCGGAUCACCGGACGAAGCCUCGCCACCGUACUGGUGCUGAUGUACAUGAUAUGGUCAAGGAUUUGAAGGUGAUAUUUGGAAAGGGUCCUGGCGGACAACCUGUUCCGAAGGACGCUGACGGACGAGCACCCAUGUGGAAGAAGAAAUCUAUAUUUUGGGACCUGCCAUAUUGGAAAGACCUAGAGGUCUGCUCCGCAAUCGAUGUGAUGCACGUGACGAAGAAUCUUUGCGUGACCCUGCUUGGCUUCUUGGGCGUGUAUGGGAAGACAAAAGAUACACCUGAGGCACGGGAGGACCAGCAACGUAUGCACGGAGAAGACGUCAUACAUCAGGGUCAUGCAAGGUACGCUCUUACCAAAGAAGAGAAGGAAAUCUUCUUUGAAUGCCUGCUCAGUAUUAAGGUACCGUCUGGAUUCUCGUCGAAUAUAAAGGGAAUAAUAAACAUGGCAGAGAAAAAGUUCCAAAACCUAAAGUAUCAUGACUGACACGUGAUUAUGACGCAACUCCUUCCGGUUGCAUUGAGGGGGCUUCUACCGGAAAACGUUCGAUUAGCCAUUGUGAAGCUAUGUGCAUUUCUCAAUGCAAUCUCUCAGAAGGUAAUCGAUCCAGAAAUCAUACCAAGGUUACAGAAUGAUUUGGUGCAAUGUCUUGUCAGUUUUGAGUUGGUGUUCCCACCAUCCUUCUUCAACAUCAUGACGCACGUCCUAGUUCACCUAUGCGAAGAUAUUAACGUUUUGGGUCCUGUAUUUCUACACAAUAUGUUCCCCUUUGAGAGGUUCAUGGGAGUCUUAAAGAAAUAUGUUCAUAACCGUGCUAGGCCAGAAGGAAGCAUCUCCAAGGGCCAUCAAAAUGAGGAGGUCAUUGAGUUUUGUAUUGACUUUAUUCCCGACCUUAAGCCGAUUGGUGUUCCUGAAUCGCGGCAUAAGGGCAGACUGGAUGGAAAAGGCACGCUAGGAGGUGAACAAAUAAUAUGUAUGGACGGACAUUCUCUCACUGAAGCACACUACACAGUACUACAGAAUUCCGUCUUGGUGGCUCCGUAUAUGGAUGAACACAAGAAUUUGCUACGCUCCAAACACCUGGAGUGGUCUGAUGACUGGAUUACACGUGAACAAACCAGGAGUUUCGCCAGCUGGUUGCAGACACGUACCAUGCAUGACACCUCUAUUGAAGAUGACCUGUACUUGUUGUCCCAGUUACCAUCUUCGAAUAUAAUGACUUUCAAAGGGUAUGAGAUAAAUGGUAAUACGUUUUACACGAUCGCCCAAGAUAAGAAGAGCACCAACCAAAACAAUGGUGUCCGCUUUGAUGCAGAAACCAAGACGGAAAAGGAAACAUAUUAUGGUUAUAUACAGGACAUAUGGGAACUUGACUAUCGACGUGGUUUAAAGGUCCCUUUGUUUCAGUGCAAAUGGGUCAAUAUGACACGAGGCGGGGUAACGGAAGACCCGCAGUAUGGAAUGACAACAGUGGAUCUCAACAAUCUUGCGUAUGCAGACGAACCAUUCGUCCUAGCCAAUGAUGUGGCACAGGUUUUCUAUGUGAAGGACAUGUCUACCAAGCCAAGAAAAAGAAAAUAUAAGGAAGCGAAUGCAUCGUACGAUGAGCCAAAGCGGCACAUAGUUCUUUCUGGGAAGAGAAACAUCGUGGGAGUGGAUGACAAGACAGACAAGUCAGAAGAUUAUGAAAAGUUUGAUGAAAUUGCUCCAUGCACAGUGAAUAUUGACCCGAGCAUCCCGUUAAAUGAUGAAGAUUUUCCAUGGUUACGGCGCAAAGGGACACACGCGAAGAAAAAGUUUCAAACCCAAAGAUCUGGGAUGUGAUCGACUUCACUAUCAUCACUUUCUUCUGUGUUUCACACCCAGAGGGGAAUCUCUGUAAUAGUUAGGGUAGUUAUAUGUUUUGGCAUUUGAAACGCGAAGAAAUUUUAUGUGCAAACAAAUUCUUUCAUGCCUUUACUGAUUUUUAAAGUUAAGUUAUUCACAAACUAGUGAUUCACACUAAUUUCAAAUAAUUCAAAAUUUAAACUAUUCAAAUUUGAAAACUACGGGCACUAACAGAAAGUUUGUAAUUUUUUGUGCCUAAAGCAAAAAUGUUCACAAAGAAACUCUAAAUACACAAAAAAACAACACAAAAAAAAAUAAAGCAAAAAAAAUAAAAAAAGCCCGCCUACUAGGCCAGAGCGGCCUGCAUACGACUAGAAACCCAACCUGUCGUUGGGCCAGGAUGCAGGCCCGCAAAGGCCAAGUGGGCCCACAGGGCUGCAAAGAACACGUAGGCCUAGUAAGCCUGCUUUGGAGAGGAGCUCGAGAGAGCGACCGCACGGGGGUUUAUAAACCAGUGCGGUCGCCCCUCGGCUAGAGAGGUGGGACUAAACUUGCCGCACCGCACCUGCGCCAGCGCACCCCCUUUAGUACCGGGUCGUGGCACACACCGGUACUAAAGGGGGGGCCGUUAGAACCGGUUUGUGCCACCACCCGGUACUAAAGGGGGUCGCUUCCCGCCGCUUGGGCUGGCCAAAACAGACCUUUAGUACCGGUUGGUGGCUCCAACCGGUACUAAAGGUGCCUUCUAUAUAUACAACACUUCGAAAAUUUUCAUUCUCCCUCUGUUUCUUCCUCUGUUUCCCCAUUGAAGCACUGCCCGCCCCGAUCGAUCGACGCCAUCACCGACCCCGUCGCCGUCGCUGCCCCCGUCCCUGUCGCCGCCCCCAUCGCCGUCGCCGCCCCCGUCCCCGUCGCCGCCCCCGUCCCCAUCGCCGCCCNNNNNNNNNNNNNNNNNNNNNNNNNNNNNNNNNNNNNNNNNNNNNNNNNNNNNNNNNNNNNNNNNNNNNNNNNNNNNNNNNNNNNNNNNNNNNNNNNNNNNNNNNNNNNNNNNNNNNNNNNNNNNNNNNNNNNNNNNNNNNNNNNNNNNNNNNNNNNNNNNNNNNNNNNNNNNNNNNNNNNNNNNNNNNNNNNNNNNNNNNNNNNNNNNNNNNNNNNNNNNNNNNNNNNNNNNNNNNNNNNNNNNNNNNNNNNNNNNNNNNNNNNNNNNNNNNNNNNNNNNNNNNNNNNNNNNNNNNNNNNNNNNNNNNNNNNNNNNNNNNNNNNNNNNNNNNNNNNNNNNNNNNNNNNNNNNNNNNNNNNNNNNNNNNNNNNNNNNNNNNNNNNNNNNNNNNNNNNNNNNNNNNNNNNNNNNNNNNNNNNNNNNNNNNNNNNNNNNNNNNNNNNNNNNNNNNNNNNNNNNNNNNNNNNNNNNNNNNNNNCCUCGCCCCCGGCGGCCACCAUAGGCGCCGCCCCUCCCCGAGCCCAUACACACACACAAGCAUGAUGAACACACACACACACACACACGUAUAUAUGUAUGAAUGCAUGUAUAUAUUAGUAUAUACGUAUUUUGUAUGUUUAAUUAGUUUAGAUUUUUUAGAUUAUUGUUUUUUCACUAGUAUAUAUGUAUGAAUGCAUGUUAGAUGGAUAUAAUUAGUGUUUAAUUAGUAUGGAAUUUUUUUAUAUAAUGUUGUUUUUCUGUUUUUUAAUGGAUGUAUAGAAGUUGUUUUUUCUGUUUUUAGUGUUAGAUGCUUAAUUAGUAUGAAAUAGCAUAUAGAAUUUUGACAUAUGCAAUGAUAGCAUAAUUAGUGUUAUAUAGAAAUGUUAGUUAUCAAAAUCCAAUCAUUAAAAAAUGUUACUUUUUGCGGGCAUAUAGCUAGUAUUUGUUCUCGACGAUGCCCGGCCCGCAUCCUCGCCGUCGACCCUUCCGCGACGACGUCCGGCUGACCCAUGUCCGGGACUGGGCUCCGCCGGGCUAGCACUGGGAGGUGCUGCCUGGAGGGGCGCGCCGCUUGAUGAGGAACCCGGCCCCGGGUCCCGUCGUCGACCCUGAUCUUGUUUGGUGGCGUUCGCGUGGGCCAGUUUCGACGUGGAGGGAGCCAACCCAGCCGGAGGUGGUACGUCGCCGUGUCAGGGAGGAGGACGAGCACGUCCAUCGCUACAUGGUUGCGUUAGAGGGCGGCAGGUUCUCCAAUACCUGGCAGUUUCUUCAGGGAUCUCACUUCAGCUAUGAUCCUGUGAGGGUUCCUUCUCUUUGGGUGUCCACCGCCCGCGGCGCAAGAACCGCGAGUGUCCUAGAUUCUUCUGUAGUAUUCGAUCUUUAUUAGCUACCUAGCCAGUGAUGUAUUCGAUAUUAUAUCUAUUAUUCGAGACGAUGUAUUCAAGAUUAUAUCUAUUAUUCGAGACGAUGUAUUCGAGAUUAUAUCUAUUAUUUGAGACGAUCUAAUUUGAAUACUAAAUUGUUUUAUAUUUCUUUUGGAUUAGUUAAAUAAAAGCUAUGGCAGAGAAUACCGGCAGAAAGGGAGAACAGGCCAUGUUCGAUAUGAUACGCCAUCCUCACGGGAAUGAAGAAGAUUAUGACGGCUCCGAAUUUCUAAACAACACCGGAGAGGGUGAUAUGAUAUUCGAUCGUGACGACCGAAUUGAUGAAGUCAUGAACUAUGAUUAUGAUGAUGACGAAGAAAAUGUUGAUCUUGAAACAACAAAGACCGGCGAGGUAUAUAUAUUUAUAUAAGCAGGCAUCUGGUGAUCAUCACAUGUUUUAAAUGACUUGAAGAUAUAUUAACGAAUCGAUCUCUGUUCUUUCAGCCAUCCGGAUCGAGCAAAUCUUCAGGAAAAAGGACGAAACGAGGCCCAAACAAAAAGUUGAAGGAGGGCGUAAAGUACAAUAUCGAGGCAAUCAGACCUAGUGGCGAACCAUUAGCUCCUAAGAAGAUUGCGGACAAGUUCGUUCGUCAGUGCGGAGUUCUUGUGAAGGACCAACUCCCGAUCUCCCUUCAAGAAUGGAGAGAGCCAGCAAAAGACAAAAGACAAAAAGACAAAGAGGACGCUGCUCCACGUCCAGAUGUUACUUUUGUCGACAAAAAACAAAAAGAUCUGCUUUGGGCUACUCUCAUGGAACAUUUCACCCUACCAGAUCAUUUCACAGAAGCAGAUGUGCAGAAAGUCAAGGACGCUGCUCUUAGGAAGAUGGCGGUUGCAUUCAAGAACCACAAGAAUCGUGAAUGGGACAAGUACGUCAAGGGAGGAAGGAAGACUCCAGUAUUCGAGGGAACACUAGAGAACCAACGUGCUCAUUGGGACGAUUUCGUGAAAUUCAAGGAUUCGGAAUUAGCUAAGGAACGGUCGAGAAUAAACAAGAAGAAUGCCGAAAAAAAGGAUAAGUUCCAUAAGCUGGGGCCAGGUGGCUAUGCGGUGGCAAUGCCUAAGUGGGAUUAGUCUGAGAAAGAGAUGGAGGAUGCAGGUGCCACUCCGGUUACUAAGAGCUGGCCCCCCAGGGUCAGGACUUGGUUCUAUACGCAUGGAGGGGAGUUGGACCCGAAGACAGACAAUGUUUCGACGAGGGCAAGUCUGAAGGGAGCCGACCAUGCGAUACUUGUUGCAAUAGAAGAGGCACGAUCGGGGGUGUUCCAGCCCAACAGAGAGAACGACAAGCUUACGCGUGCCCUGGGAAAUCCUAAACACCCGGGAAGAACACGAGGCAAGGGUGCUAUUCCGUGGUAUGAGGGGUUUUCAGACUGGAACACCGACUACAGAACCCGUGCGAGAAAGAAGAUUGCGGAGGAGAAGAAGAGGAAGAUGGAGGAGGAGCAGAGGAAGCGGGACUAUGAACGCCUUCAAGGCCUAGAAGCAAGUCAAGCGGAAUUGGCAGUUAAAUUCCAGCAGCAGCAGGAGCAGAUCGACUCACUUACCCAGCAAAGGGGGUCUCAGCAGCUGCAGCAGCUAGCGAAUGAUCCAGCAUUGGAUAGCACCGCCCCAUCCAUGCCGAGAAGCAGCGUGGGUUCCGCCCCGGACGAUGAAAUGCUGGGUAGAUACCCCGUGGAUGACAUCACGGAGAACACUAGCUGCGAGCUACACGUCAAAAUGAAGAACAUAUCCAUGAAGGUGGCGAACGCGGUUGCUUUUACAAAUCCCCCCGAGGCAACCUUCCAUUGCAACCCGAUUCCAGCGGGCUAUGCUCGUGUCUUGGUUGAUGAGGUGGUGGACCCAUAUUCGGAGCUAGAGCUUGACAUUCCUGGAGGUGAUGACGAGCACUUUCUCGGAGAGGCCAACCAUCGUAUCAUCCUAUGGAAAAAGGAUUGCAUCAUCUUUCGAAGGCCACCGACACCGCGUCAGCCGACUCCUCGUCGAAGUCUGCCACCGAGUCAGCAGACUCCGGCUCCUACAAGUCCACCAAGUCCGGCAAAGUGUCAGGCCACUCCUCCUCCAAGUCCGGCAAAGUGUCAGGCCACUCCUCCUCCUCCAAGUCCGCCACAGCGUCAGACGUCCACUCCUCCUCCAAGUCCGGCACAACCUCAGGCCACUCCUCCUCCAAGUCCGGCACAGCUUCAGGCCACUCCUCCUCGUCCAACUCAGCCCCGUCAGCCGUCUCCGCUGCCUCAGCAAUCGCAGAAGAGACACCCCGCAGCUAUGGUGCGUAGCGGUAUGAGUCGAGGUAGUACAGGAAGUACAGGCGAAGGCAAGCGAUAUAAAUAUGGUCCAAGCCUCAAGCCUCUUCCGCAGAGGCCUUAUGACAAGUCCGAGGAGGAAAUCACAGCCAUAUCGAAGGCCGAGGUGGAAGCCCAUUUUGCACCGAAACCGCCACCGCCGCCAAGGGAGAAAGUGCCUGAGGAAACGAUUGACCACUUCAUUCGUAUGGCUCAACCACCAGCUCCCAAGCCUGUUGACACAGACUAUGAGCGCCACAUCAGGAAGUUAAAUCAAGCACGUCUACGUAAGGAGGCGAGCUCGGGAUCGAGCAAACAGCAAGCAGCUGUCAAAAAAUGCGGGAAAACCAUUCCCCAACUGGGAGAACAGGCGGCGCAAUCGAUCCCCUCGCUUUUUGUGCCAACAACACAUGACAGUACGCGCGCCCAAUAUUAUUGUGGGCAAACAGUUUACGUUCCCGAGGUGGGCAAUGUGGUAAUAACCAAGGACCAUAUAAUGCAGGCUGAAGUUCUCAACAUCACUGUUGGACAACUCCUCGAGAUCGAGCCCAUGCCUGUGCUUAAAGAGGAUGAAAUAAAAUGGAAAUAUGUCCGGGGCCAACCUUUGGUCGAGCCAGACAAGGUCAAGAACCUCCCAACGAAAAUGUAUGAAUUGCAUCAAUGGUACAUGAACAUUACCAAGAUUUCCGAUCGAUUGUCCCUCAUGGUGAAUGUCAAGGAGGAGCAUUACUUCCAUGAGAAAGCUCUGUCCAUUGAGUAUUCUGAACUGUUUCAGUUAUACAAUCAAGACGCACUUGACAAAUCUAUCGUCAGUUGCUAUUGUCUGUAAGUGAUUUCUUUCUGUAAUUUAAGUCUCAAGCUAGCUGUAGUGAUCCUUUUGAUCAAUCAUUACCUGUAAUUAUCCUCACUAUAUUCUUUUCUGUGGUAUUAUGCAAGAUGAAGAUGUAUGAAAUGAGAAAAGGUGGACGCUUUGGCAUUGGGUUCAUUGACCCAAACACCGUUAAUGAAUACACAUGGCUAAUAAAUCCACAUCAUCAAAAGGCCGUAGAGGACAACAUGCUAGAGUUCUUGAAGCGCCUCAAAUACAAUGAAGAUAUACUACUUCCUUACAACUUCAAGUGAGUCACACUGUCUUGUACUACAAAUUCUCUGUUUUUGCCUACUAGCUAGCUACAUGUUUUUGCUUACAUAUGCCCGCUUAAUUAAGACAUGCAAACGUGUGUGCAUGCAGAUUUCACUGGAUCUUGUGUAUCAUUAAAGUUGACGCCGGAACAGUUGAAAUACUGGACUCACUACUCAAAGAAAAUACUGACUAUAACAUCUUGUUUGGGAUAGUCAACAGGUAAUUUCAAUCAUUAUUAACUAUAUAUCUCGGCCUAUUUAGUUCGUCAUUUCAUGAUAUGAACUAUUUAAUAACCCCUUUAUUCAUUUUCUUUGUCGACGGGCAGGGCUUGGGCAAGGUUCAUCAGCGUCACGGAAGGCGAAUGGAAAAAAGCUUAAAUGGGGAAGACCCAAGGUAAGUAAUUAAGUAGUAGCUAGCUGCCAUCUCUUUAAUUAUCAUGCUUGAUUAAUUAUUAUGUGAUCAAAUUCCAUUCUCGUAAAGGCCCUGAAGCAGGCGCAGGGAACUGAUCUGUGUGCAUUCUGCGUUUGCGAGAACAUUCGCAUGAUGGCGUCCGAAAGGAGCAGAUCUCAAAGACAGGAAUGGAUACGCUUGUCAGAACACUAUUCACAAUUUUUACACCAUUAUAUAUCGAUAUCUAGUCACACAACUAAUACACAUGCAUAUUGAUCUCCUUCUUAACAGUUCAGAGAGGUGCGGGAGAAGCUCCUAAAAACGGAGCGCGUAGAAGCACUUCAAGAGGAAAUAGCGGGAUUUUUGCUCGACCAGGUCAUAAAUCCGAAGGGAGAAUACUAUUACCCGCUACCGCCCCCACGAAAACCACUUCCAAUUGUCAUCGUGCUCCGAAGGCACCAAUUAGGCUAAUGCUAUUGGCUCCGAAGGCAACAUGCAUAUGUAGGAGAAAUUGUAUAUAGCUAUACAUAUGUGUAUGUGUGAAUUAAUUAAUAUGAUGGUUUGUGAGACAUUGAUAAUAUAUANNNNNNNNNNNNNNNNNNNNNNNNNNNNNNNNNNNNNNNNNNNNNNNNNNNNNNNNNNNNNNNNNNNNNNNNNNNNNNNNNNNNNNNNNNNNNNNNNNNNNNNNNNNNNNNNNNNNNNNNNNNNNNNNNNNNNNNNNNNNNNNNNNNNNNNNNNNNNNNNNNNNNNNNNNNNNNNNNNNNNNNNNNNNNNNNNNNNNNNNNNNNNNNNNNNNNNNNNNNNNNNNNNNNNNNNNNNNNNNNNNNNNNNNNNNNNNNNNNNNNNNNNNNNNNNNNNNNNNNNNNNNNNNNNNNNNNNNNNNNNNNNNNNNNNNNNNNNNCGUAAAAUACCAGCAAACGAAAAAGAAUUAAAAUGGAAACACAAAAUUAAAUGAAAAAGAAAUCAUAAAACUAAAAACCCCCCAAACCUUAUAGUACCGGUUGGUCUUACCAACCGGUACUAAAGGGCUCCAGGCCCCCGGAGCUGGCUCGUGCCACGUGGUUGCCCUUUAGCACCGGUUCGUGCUGAACCGGUACUAAAGGUGGGGGCCUUUAGUGCCCACACUUUAGUGCCGGUUAUGGAACAGGUACUAAAGGGCCUUACGAACCGGUGCUAUUGCCCGAUUCUGCACUAGUGACCCGAUACUGAUGAUCAUGUGCUAAGAACAAUUAUGUAGGGUUGGGUUCGAUGACUAUGAGGAUGAUGAUCGUAUGACUUAUUAUUAAUAACGAGUAGAAGUUGUACGAUGAUGCAUGAUUAGUAGGACUUGUUAUUAUAUAUGAUGAUGUAUGAUGCGAGAGCAUGCAUGAGUUAUUAUAUCAGCGGGUGAAAUGAACAUAUAUAUAGCAGCAGCGUUGGUAAACCAAGGACGAAGAUACAAGAGAGGACACUUCUCUCUAUUAGCUAGCUAAUAACAACCUAAAAAUAACCCCAAACCCCCUAAAGCAGCCACUUUUCUAAAAAAAACAUGGACUUUUGGUCCCGGUUGGUGUCACCAACCGGGACCAAAGGCCCCCUGACUGGACUCGGGGCACAGGCCACGUGGAGGCACAUUGGUCCCGGUUCGUGUUUGAACCGGGACUAAUGGGUGGAGGUAUUAGUAACGACCCAUUAGUCCCGGGACUAAAGGCCCUUACGAACUGGAACUAUUAGGUGUUUUUCUACUAGUGAUAUGACCAACCCUACCUCACUAUAUCUGCUCUACGCACCUCCCCUCCGGUCUCGUCUCUGCCAUAUGUCGCCACAAUAUCCGACUAGGAGCUUGACAUCCGCCGGUCUUAGAUGGAUAGGGGCGGCUCAUUGAGCUUCACGCCCUACCGGUGGCCUAGAUGGCCCCUAGCUCUGGGCCCAACCACCGUGGCUCAUCGUGGUUCGCGCCAUCCCCAGUGGCACGGCGAGGCUCUUGUAGCUCCGGGCCAUACCCCCUUUGUAGGUGACAACAACAACAACAACAACAACAACAACAACAAUAGAUCAAAUUAAUAACACUAAUUUACAGUAGUUUUUCCAAUCCCCGCAGAAAAAAAUAGCUUUUUCAUACAUCUAGAUUGCUCUACUUUUAUUUAUAACCAAUAAACAAACAUGUUUCUUGGUGUGAAAAUGAAGACAGACAGCGAUAUGAGAACGGAACAACUUGUUAAUAAGGUGCGGCAUACUUCACACCGCAGGAAUACAGGACAUUGUGACGUUAAUGUUUACUGAACUAUAAACCAUCCAUGCCAUGCACAUGCACAUGCACAUGCACACGCACAUGACCUUUCUCUCUUACAUCACACCCUCACUCUUUGGCAUAGCACGACGAACUACACUCUUGAAGCAAACUUGGUGAUGAGCUCAUUCAGAACAGAGAGAUUGGUUGCAGCUAUGCGCUCCCAGUCACUGGUCGCCAUGACUUGUUGCAAGUCCGCAGCGGAUUGAACCUUGAGGAACUCCAGGCAGGCCUCCUUCAGGUCGGAGCAGUGAUGCUGCGCAGCUAGGGCAAGGAUGGCAGUCACCGAGCUCGCAACUAUGCGCUCCAACAACCUCUCUUCACACAUCGACUAGAGCCGCUGAAGAUCGUACCUGUCCGCCGCGGCAAGCAAGUCCCACAGCCACGUAAUCUCAGCUCCGGCUUCUCCUUCCACCUCCAUCUUGGGCAUUGAGUCGGUGUAGACAAAACCAAGCAGCGCCUUGAACACGCCUGGCUCCAUGUCUUGUAUGUGUAUGGCACCGGAUGUGGUCCCCUCCUGCAUGGGGCCAAAGAGCUCCGCCAUGAAGACGGUGUAACAUGCCGCAAGCACGCAUCGGUGAGCGGCGAACGUCUCAUGGCCAACCUCGAAUGUCACGUCGGCGCCAACCUUUGUCGCAAAGGGUUGGUUUAGAUGCUCGCAUAUGUUAGUUGGCCGCACCUUGAUGAAGGCAGCAGCAGCAGGUCCAGGGAUGAUAAAAUCGCAUCGGAUGGUGAAAGAGUCAUCCUUGAGAUGCUUUGACUACUCAAGCUCCUAUUUUUUUAUGAAACGAUUGGGACCCCAGGCUUGGCCACACCGAGUAAACCCAACUGAUGUCUGUGCACGGAUGCGUGCGUGCUCUUGCUGGUCGACCUCAUCAACGAAACUAAACUGCACGUGCGCUUUCACAGGCUGUGCAACUUCCUGUUUAAGAAGAAGGAAAACGGAUAUGAAGCCAGCCACACUCUUGGGAUAACCACUGGCAUACAAACCUAUAGCCCAUUGAUAACCGCCAGCACUAAAAAAGCCACCAUUGAUGUACUCCCUCCGUUCCUAAAUAUAAGUUUUUGUAGAGAUUUCACCAUGGACUAGACACGGAGCAAAAUGAGUGAAUCUACACAUUAAAAUGCAUCUAGAUACAUCCGUAUGUAGUUCAUAGUGGGAUCUCUAUGGCCCAGUGUGGUUGAGCUUUUAUCAACGGAUUCCGCUGCCGCGCGGCAGAAUCUGAACCAAAGGGCGAACCCAGCAGAAUCCGAUUCCAGAAAUCCGCUGCCAAAAUCUGAACCAAAAGGAGAAGCAGCCCAGGACGUGCUUUCCAAAUCUGAUUCCGCUGCGGGCCAAAAUCUGAAAAAGCUGUAUUCCGCGGACGGCAACAACAAGCGUCCGUCAGCAAUGACGGAUUUGCCGGUGAAGGACAUGAUUCCCUGCGAUCUAUCGGGACAGCUCACCUCCGGCGGCAACACAACUCGCCGGCUCAACUUGGAUGUGUAUACAGACGCACGACGCCAAAAGGAGACACUUGACUGGGAACCAACCCUCCCCUCCCGAGGCGCUCCCCUCGGGCAUCCCCGGGAGGCAACCCUAGCGCUGCCGCCCCCGUCUCCUCGCCCCGCCCCCCAUCCCUCGCCGCCGCAGGUGGCGUCGCCGGCCAAAGGCCGCGUGGCGCAGGCGGCGGCGAGGCGUCUUCCUCCCACGCGCAGGUGGCGGGCGGCGCGGGGCGCCCUCCCCUGCUCGGUGGUGCCGGGCGCCGGUCGGCCGCUGCUCUGUUUUCCUCCCUCCUCCUGGCGUCCUGGUGGACUGCCGGCGCUCCCUCCUUCCCUCCUCCCCUCCUCCUUGGCUCGUGGGGGCUGGAGGCCCGGGGGCGUGCUGGCGGCGGAUCUGGCACCCCCUGUCCAGAUCCGACUGGUGGUGGUGGUUGGCGGUGUCACGGGUGGCCGGUGGCCCUUCCAAGGUGGUGGCGCUGCAACUGGUCCUCGUUCUGCUCCAGUGGGGUGGCGGGCCAUCGACUGCUCCUGGCCAGGGCGUGGAGACGCAGGUGGUGUGGUGGUCGUUGACGCUCUUGGCGGCCUUCCUCGACGGCUGGGUGCGGUCAAUCCGGCGGCCCUCGCCGGCGGACGGGUGGCUGCCUCUCCCUCGCAGGUUCUGGCCCGGAGGCCGUGGUAGGGCGUCAGGGGUGACGCAGGGGAGGCUGCUGGAGGGACGGGUAGACCGACUACCUGUCACCGGCCUAGUGCCUCCUUGCCGCUGACAGUUGUUCGGGGCGGGUUGGUCACCGGCGGUUCCGAUGGUGCUUGGGGUUUGCCGGUCGGCUCAAAGCUCGUGCCUUUGAUGGUCUCCGGAGUGUCUGGAUGCAAGGCGGCGGCCUUGGUGGCAGGAGCUGCUGGCUCAUGGGCGGAGCUCGUGGCUCGGGCGCUGAUGAGCUUGCUGUCAUGGCCGCGUGGGCGACAUGGGGUGGGCCUUCGACGAUCUCGGUGGUGGUGCGGCCGGCGCUCUCAUGUAGGGCCAUACAUUGGACGGAGGCUGAGGGUGGUGGCCGGGGUGAAAACCUCGUGUGGCUCGGAGCCAGACCGAUGGCAGCGGCGUCCAUGCGUCGUUCCCUUCUUGAAGGCUCCAUCGCGGUAACCCUGCGUCCUUCGUGUUACUCCGGGUGAAAACCUAGAUUCCCUGGAUCGGGCGGUGGUGGCUCAUCGGUGCCGUUUCUUUCUUGGAAGCACCGCUUUGGAGUCCCUGGUUCGUCUGAGUUACGGUUUCGUCUCCUCGCGGUGACUCGUUCACGGUGGAGAGCUCUUUAGACCCUUAGCUAUGCUCUUCUGCCUAUUUGUCGUUUGCUUUGGGGUGUUUAG